CGCACGGGUGAGUAACACGUAUGGAACCUGCCCUAUGCAGGGGGAUAAGCGGAAGAAAUUCCGUCUAAUACCGCAUAACACCAUUUGGAGACAUCUCCAGGUGGUCAAAGGAGGCGACUCCGGCAUAGGAUGGCCAUGCGUCGCAUUAGCUAGUCGGCGGGUAACGGCCCACCGAGGCGACGAUGCGUAGGGGUUCUGAGAGGAAGGUCCCCCACACUGGUACUGAGACACGGACCAGACUCCUACGGGAGGCAGCAG
rnacentral:rRNA from 1 species